GAUGAACGCUGGCGGCGUGCCUAAUACAUGCAAGUCGAGCGAACAGACGAGGAGCUUGCUCCUCUGACGUUAGCGGCGGACGGGUGAGUAACACGUGGAUAACCUACCUAUAAGACUGGGAUAAUUUCGGGAAACCGGAGCUAAUACCGGAUAAUAUAUUGAACCGCAUGGUUCAAUAGUGAAAGACGGUUUUGCUGUCACUUAUAGAUGGAUCCGCGCCGCAUUAGCUAGUUGGUAAGGUAACGGCUUACCAAGGCAACGAUGCGUAGCCGACCUGAGAGGGUGAUCAGCCACACUGGAACUGAGACACGGUCCAGACUCCUACGGGAGGCAGCAGUAGGGAAUCUUCCGCAAUGGGCGAAAGCCUGACGGAGCAACGCCGCGUGAGUGAUGAAGGUCUUCGGAUCGUAAAACUCUGUUAUUAGGGAAGAACAAAUGUGUAAGUAACUAUGCACGUCUUGACGGUACCUAAUCAGAAAGCCACGGCUAACUACGUG
rnacentral:rRNA from 1 species